AUACGUAGGGGGCGAGCGUUGUCCGGAAUGAUUGGGCGUAAAGGGCGCGUAGGCGGCCCGGUAAGUCUGGAGUGAAAGUCCUGUUUUUAAGAUGGGAAUUGCUUUGGAUACUGUCGGGCUUGAGUGCAGGAGAGGUAAGUGGAAUUCCCAGUGUAGCGGUGAAAUGCGUAGAGAUUGGGAGGAACACCAGUGGCGAAGGCGACUUACUGGACUGUAACUGACGCUGAGGCGCGAAAGUGUGGGGAGCAAACAGGAUUAGAUACCCUGGUAGUCCACACUGUAAACGAUGAAUGCUAGGUGUAGGGGGUAUCGACCCCUUUUGUGCCGGAGUUAACACAAUAAGCAUUCCGCCUGGGGAGUACGGCCGCAAGGUUGAAACUCAAAUGAAUUGGCGGGG
rnacentral:rRNA from 1 species